GCCCCCCUCAAGAUGAGAUUUCCCAUAGCGCAAGCUAGUAAGAUCCCUGAAAGAUGAUCAGGUUGAUAGGUCAGAGGUGGAAGCGUGGCGACAUGUGUAGCUGACUGAUACUAAUCGAUCGAGGACUUAACCAAA
rnacentral:rRNA from 1 species